rnacentral:rRNA from 1 species
GACGAACGCUGGCGGCGUGCUUAACACAUGCAAGUCGAACGGAAAGGCCCUGCUUUUGUGGGGUGCUCGAGUGGCGAACGGGUGAGUAACACGUGAGUAACCUGCCCUUGACUUUGGGAUAACUUCAGGAAACUGGGGCUAAUACCGGAUAGGAGCUCCUGCUGCAUGGUGGGGGUUGGAAAGUUUCGGCGGUUGGGGAUGGACUCGCGGCUUAUCAGCUUGUUGGUGGGGUAGUGGCUUACCAAGGCUUUGACGGGUAGCCGGCCUGAGAGGGUGACCGGCGACAUUGGGACUGAGAGACGGCCCAGACUCCUACGGUAGGCAGCAGUGGGGAAUAUUGCACAAUGGGCGGAAGCCUGAGGCAGCAACGCCGCGUGCGGGAUGACGGCCUUCGGGUUGUAAACCGCUUUCGCCUGUGACGAAGCGUGAGUGACGGUAAUGGGUAAAGAAGCACCGGCUAACUACGUG